AGAGAUGUUGAGAGAUCAACCAGGAGACUGUGGGAGGAUGUGAGCUCUCUGAGAAGGAGAAGAAGUAUUUACAUUAGAAGUCUGAUUCACAGGUCGGGGCAAAGUGAAAAACAUCUGCACUUUUAAAAGGUGAGGACAGUCUGUUCUGAAGGUCUACACAUUAAUGCUUCCUAUUGGGAAUUCAAAUCGGCAAUUUGUUCUUCUUCUGGUUGUUUGAAUCUUCAAAAUAGAGGGAAGACACCUGGAUGAAACAUUUUCACAGACUCUGCAAUUCCCUUAAGAGGAUCCCAGAGCCCUUAAGCUUCUCUUAGAUUCCUCUGAUUUUUUUCAGCCCAAGGACUGUUACCACAUGUCUUCCAUCUUGCCCACAAUUUUAGCAGAUCAUCAGGAUACUUGCCAACAAGGUCACAGUGGACUCCAUGGAGCAACUGCCCUCAGGAGGCAACAGGUCACAGUGUUUGGACACCGCAUGAACAUGCCAAUUUCCUGUGUUGUAAUAUUUUUAUGCACUUUAAGAAGACCACCAGAAACAGCAGACUGAGGCGCAUAUUGGACAAAAAUCACUUAUCCAAGACCACGUUACUACAACCCCAGGGCACAGAAGCUAAGUCUUCCUAUUGUACUGAACUCAGUUGACUGGAAUUUGUUCAGGAAAGCAUGAAGUCAAAUGGAAGCUAGUCCGUGACUGGAUUCAUCUUUUGGUAAAAAACGAAGAGGAGACCCCAUAUCCUGGAGGUUCUUGCUUAACCCUGUCCCUAAUAAGACCUAACUUUAUGAGUCUUCUCCUUAGAGGCAGUCCUAGGGUAAGAGUGAUUAUUCCUGUGAGCCUUGUAGGUACUUUCGAAUCAAGGAAAUUAGUAGUUGAUUGCUAAUUAAUUCAGUAUUUAAUGAAUUUAAGUACCUAGGCAAUGAGGCCACAAUAGCAAAUAAGACACAGACCUGUUUUCAAAAAGUAGCCUGUAAAUAAGAUAUUUUUUUCUGCCAUGGUGGCAAAGGCAUGACUAUGGUGAUGAACAUUCAUAGGCUCACCUUCUAGCUCUGUUGUAUGUUAACUGUGUGAACUUGGGUCAAGUUAUGAAAACUCUAAGAACUCUCAAAACUCCUGAUCUGUUUUAACAUGAAAGUAAAGAUAUCUAAUUGAAUUGUUGUGAAACUUAAAUGUAAUGUGACAUCCAAAGAAUGUAGCCCAAAGUUGGAUUUCAGUAAGUGAUAAAUAGAAGUAUUUAAACAUGGGUAUGGUAUGUUCUGUAACAGAAGAAUGUCUAUGUGCUGGGGAUACCUAGAGACAGUGAAAAUUCUGUCUGGCCUGCGAAUUAUAAUAAAAUGACUCUUUAAAGUCAA
rnacentral:lncRNA from 1 species